rnacentral:rRNA from 1 species
AUUGAACGCUGGCGGCAGGCCUAACACAUGCAAGUCGAACGAGUGGCGGACGGGUGAGUAAUGUCUGGGAAACUGCCCGAUGGAGGGGGAUAACUACUGGAAACGGUAGCUAAUACCGCAUACCAUCGGAUGUGCCCAGAUGGGAUUAGCUAGUGGGUGGGGUAACGGCUCACCUAGGCGACGAUCCCUAGCUGGUCUGAGUGGAUGACCAUCCACACGUGAACUGCGACACGGUCCAGACUCCUAGGUGAGGCAGCGGUUGGGCGUGUUGCACAAUGGGCGGAAGCCUGAUGCAGCCAUGCCGCGUGUAUGAAGAAGGCCGUCGGGUUGUAAAGUACUUUCAGCGAGGAGGCGUUACUCGCAGAAGAAGCACCGGCUAACUCCGUGCCAGCAGCCGCGGUAAUUC